GUCCGUAUCGAUUAGGGGUUAAAUCACUUCGUUGUGGUCAAUCCAAUUCCGAAGAGCCGCUGGUUCGAUUCCAGCUACGGACA